GGUAUAUCAUUGGCAGCAGACAGAUGAAGAUCUGACAGUAAACAUUCAACUACCAGAUAACACCACAAAACAGAACAUAGACUUCCAGUUGUCACCAGGUCAUUUGCAAGUCGGAAUGAAAGGAGAAACUGCUAUCAUAGAGGGCAGUUUGUACUCUUCAGUUGACCAUGGCCUCAGCAAGUGGACAAUUAAUGACAAUAGGCAAGUACUUUCCCCAUUCUCUAUCUUCAUGAUUACAACAUACUGUGAUAGUAACGGAAAGAAAUGGACCAUGAGGUGUUUUGAUAGAGUAGCUAGGAAUAAACUGUUUCCAUUGGCAGUAAGGUCAGUAAACAGAGGACACAGAUUUAAGAUGAUUGCUAAAUAAGAAGCAGGUGCAGAUGAGAAUUAUUUUAUGCAAUAUGUUAUUGUGAUUGAAAAUCUACUUCCUGAAAGUGUGGUGCAAACACAUUCGAUAAUAACUUUCAAAGGGAAUCAUAAAGAGAAAUAUGCAGUGAGAUGAGGAAAAUGCAGGUAAGUAAAAACUGAUUGAGACAGUGCACUGAAUAACAUCUGUCAUUGCUGUAUAGAUACCUCUCCACAGAAGGAAGCUUGUUAUGCCUGUGCUAGCUCUUUGAAAGAUCAACCAUAUUUAGUUCCAUGUCAUCAUCAGUCUAAUUGUGUUAGCUAUAAAGCAAUAGAAACCAGGAGUACAGUUAUCCAAUUAGAAUAGGCCUUAUCCCAAGACUCCUUUUUAGAGUAUGUGGUUACAAAUAGAUUCCGCUGCACUAAGCACUUCCCCAGAAGGAAAUAAAAGUACUUCAGGAUAUAAGAGUUUGGAUUCAUGGGCUACAAAUUCAUAAGGGAGGCAGUCAACUCAUUGUACAUGUAUUUAAGGUGGUUGGUUUAUGAUUAUUAAGAAUGGUUUAGAUGAGAUACAAUAAUAGUUUAGAUAUGAUACAUGAUAACUAGACAGGAAAAUAUACAACCUAAGACAGUUAUGUGGUUCACACAUACCAGGAAACAAAUGGACAAUUGGCACUAUUACAGUAUGGAGACAGACUGUCAAUCACAUCAGCCUUUUUACUUCUGUAUUUGCAACACAGUAAAAUUAAAACCUAAGAUCCUCAAAAUUGACUCCAACAGGUUCCUGAUCAGACUUUUGAGUAACCAAUCAUAGACUCUGCAAAUAUUUAUUGUUGACAUCAGUUUGUAGUUUAAACAAAAGACUUUGCAAUUUAUUAACAGUACAGUAACCUUAGCAGAGCAAAAUUAAACAAAGUAAUCGAAGUGCUAUCUAUGUUUAAACCCCAACUUGUUAACUUGUUCCCCCACCCUGAUUCACAUAAAAAAACAGAUGAGAAAACAAACACAGUUAAGGGAUAAAUAAAACAAGCCAGAUUACUUGAGUGGUUUUCAUGAUGCAUUGUUCGCAAGGCGUAGAUGAUUGAUUUUCUGAAACUAUCAAUUAAGAAUCAAUCAGGGCCACCUUUUCAGUUCUUCAGAGGAAGUGAUACUUCUAACUUAAUUUCUAUUCUCUGAACUUUCAAUGGCAGAUAAUGGGAGAAUAGACAGGGAGUGUUUAGAUUUUAAUGCUCUCCCAUCAACAGCCAAACUCCUGUUCCUGGAACACAGUUCAAAACCUAAUUCAAAAUUCUAGCCUCUCCAUGUCAAAUUGACCAUUUCUCCAUGAGGUACCAGUUGCCAUUCAAAAUCUACCCAUCUGCUGGAGUAUAAGGUCUCUCCCAGACUUGCUAAACCAGUUCUUAGGUCCUGGCCAGCAUCUACUAUCUGCUUAAACGUACUGCUCUUCCCUGUGUCAAAGCGUUUGUAGAACCUUUAGAUCAAGAUCCAACUUAUAAUUAAGCCAGGUGUGGUCUCUCAAACAAACGACAGCUCGUUUGUUUUUUUUUUUUUUUUUUUGACACCAUCUGCUGCCCAUAAUCCAAAGGCCAUUUUCCACUCAGUUCUCAGUUUCAAACCAAAACUGAUAAAAGAAUAAAAUCCCUUGGUCUUCCUCCAUCUUUCCUGGCCCAUCUUCCAUCUAAGGUAGCUAGCUAUCUGAUAAGUCCUGCCACCUGAAGAAGUCAUUUUAAACAUACUUUAUUCCUAGAGGCUGUUAAUUUAUACCAAAUCAAUCAUUUGUUUGAAAUCUUCUAAUGAAUUAGAGGACUGGUGUUCAAGGUGUCAAGACUCUUUUGCUUUCCCUCUCCCAGCUUGAGGCCACUUUUUUUAGUUUGUUAAUCUGAAUGCCAUUUGCUAGACCUUUCUCAACGCUUCCAUAGAGAAGGAAACACAGGAUACAUCAUCCUACAACUUAGGAAUGUCAACAUGGAAACUUGAGCCAAGAGACAUUGAUAUUUCAGAGUAAAAACGAAGAGAACUGCAGAUGCUGUAAAUCAGAAACAAACAGAAGUUGCUGAAAAAGUUUAGCAGGCCUGCCAGCAUCUGUGCAGAGAAAUCAAAGUUAAAGUUUUGGGUUCAGUGAUCCUUCCUCCGAACAGAACAGAACGGAUCUGAAACGUUAAUUCUGAUUUCUCUGCACAGAAGCUGCCAGACCAACUGAGCUUUUUCUGUUGAUAUUUCCAAAGACUGUUGUGUAUUUCCAAAGAGCGAAUGAAAACAGUUUCUUUGCUGAGGUGACCUUGUGAUAUGUAAAUCCCUUUUUAUGAAGUGUUUCUAACUUUAAUAAAUUGUGCUUUUUAGAAUAAGGUCCCAUUUCUUACAAGGGGUAUAUUAACAUAGUGGUUUUGCUGCUGAAUUAGUAAUGCAGAGACCUGGACCAACUGCACCUGGGGAAUUUAAAUUCAGGUAAUUAAAUAAACCUGGAAUAAUUAUGAGAAUCAAUAAUGAUGUACAAUUAACAACUGUUGUCAAAAUUCCAACUGAUUUGUUUGUGUUGUUAAAUGCAAGAAAUCUGCUGUCCUUACCAAGUCUAGCCUAUCUUUUACUACAGAUCCUCAGCAAUGUGAUCGAUGUUACCUGUUCUCUGAAAUGGCUUUACAAGCCACUCUGGUAUAUUCUAGAAGGCAGCGCACCAUGACCUUCUCAAGCUUAAUAUUUGUCUUAGUAAAAACAUUCAUAUCUUUAUUAGUGCAGAAAAAGGAAAGUAAGUACCUGCAAACAUGAAGAAAACCUUUGUAAAAGUGUUAACAGAAGCACUCAAAUUAUACCCAGGUAUCAAUUCUAUAUGAGACCUAAUCAAGGUGUUCCUGUCCAAGACUUCAGGCCAAUAAUUGAACAUUCAGCUCACUCAUGCAGAUGUCUUCUUGUUCUUUCAACAUUGUCCGAAGAGAUUAUAUUAAAAAAUUCUUUCAUGGGAUGUUGGCAUUGCUGGCUGAACUAACAUUUGUUGCCCAUCACUAAUUGCCCUUAAGGAGGGGUAGUGUACGCUGCCUUGCACCUUUGCAGUCCAUGUGUUUAGGUGCACUCAGUGCUAUCAAUAAGGCACCUCCCAGAUUUUUGACUCAACAAUCUGUUCAAGAUGGUGAGUGGAUUUGAAAGGAUUUUGCAAUUGAUGGUGCUCCCAUGCAUCUACUGCCUUUGUCCAUUCAGAUAGCAGAGAUCCUGGUUUGGAAGGUGCUAUUGAAGAAAAUCUUGGCUUUCUGCAUUGCAUUUUCAGGAUACGUGAUCUUCAACUUUUUUAAGUACAGAUCACUUUUUGAAUAAAAUGCAGCCCAGCAUUUACCCUGAAGAAAAUAAAAUAUAAACAGUUUAAUUUUUAGUGUUAUAUGAAACUACCUGUGUAUAAAUUUUGUUUUGUCUUCUACUCACCAAAUCUCGGUAUGACGCCUGUAAUGGUACAUUAUCUGCCAGUGAAUUUAGUUUGAGGCUGCUAGCUGUAUGCGGUCCAUCAAAUGGCUAUCUGUGAAGCGGUAUGAUACUUGGACUAAAUUAUCUUCAAAUGGCAGAAUGCUGCCUCACCGAGGUGGCAAAAGGGUGAGAAGAUCCUCUUUGGAUCUAACAUGAUUCACCAUCAGAAAGCCUGCUGACCAGAACUGCACAC